rnacentral:rRNA from 1 species
AGAAUCAACGCUGGCGGCGUGCCUAACACAUGCAAGUCGAACGAGAAAGUGGAGCAAUCCAUGAGUAAAGUGGCGCACGGGUGAGUAACACGUGACUAACCUACCCUUGAGUGGGGGAUAACCUAGGGAAACCUGGGCUAAUACCGCAUAAUACCUUCGGGUCAAAGGAGCAAUUCGCUUAAGGAGGGGGUCGCGGCCGAUUAGUUAGUUGGCGGGGUAAUGGCCUACCAAGACUAUGAUCGGUAU